rnacentral:misc_RNA from 1 species
UGCCCUGCCCUGCUCUGACUGAC